CCUACGGGAGGCAGCAGUGAGGAAUAUUGGUCAAUGGGCGCGAGCCUGAACCAGCCAAGUAGCGUGAAGGAUGACUGCCCUACGGGUUGUAAACUUCUUUUAUAAAGGAAUAAAGUGAGGCACGUGUGCCUUUUUGUAUGUACUUUUUGAAUAAGGAUCGGCUAACUAUGUGCAAGCAGCCGCGGUAAUACGGAGGAUCCGAGCGUUAUCCGGAUUUAGUGGGUGUAAAGGGAGCGUAGAUGGGUUGUUAAGUCAGUUGUGAAAGUUUGCGGUUUAACCGUAAAAUUGCAAUUGAUACUGGCAGUCUUGAGUACAGUUGAGGUAGGCGGAAUUCGUGGUGUAGCGGUGAAAUGCUUAGAUAUCACGAAGAACUCCGAUUGCGAAGGCAGCUUACUAAACUGCCACUGACAUUGAGGCUCGAAAGUGUGGGUAUCAAACAGGAUUAGAUACCCCUGUAGUC
rnacentral:rRNA from 1 species